GAACGAAUGCCAGACUUCUUUCAUGAACACGUGUGAUCAAGAUUGCAUCAACACACCCGGAAGUUAUCUUUGUAGUUGCAGAGCAGGUUUUGUUUUCAAAAAUGGAAAAUGUAACGAUAUUAACGAAUGCCUAGGCGGGAACGAAUGUCAACAACAAUGUGUUAACACUAUUGGUAGCUACAGAUGCUCUUGUGAAUCGGGAUUCGUUCUUGAACUUACCGACCGAAAGUCUUGCAUUGCUGAGACAGAGUGUACGUUAAAUCAAGCUGCUAACUGCUCUGGUAAUGCUACUUGUUCUGUUUCCGACGACGAGGUUAAAUGUGUUUGUCCUAAUGGAUACAACGGGACUUAUUGUACAGACAUCGACGAGUGUGAAAAUGGUAAGGAAACAUGUGACCAAAAUUGUAAAAAUACCAUAGGUGGAUACAAUUGCGAGUGUCAAGUUGGAUAUUUCCUGGAAAACGAUAAUGCCACGUGCACAAAGUGCAUGAACUGGACAUACGGUGAGAUGUGUUCCAGGGAAUGUAAAUGCAAUUUGACCAAUACUGAGACUUGCAAUCCAACAAACGGAAAUUGUACGUGUUUGAAAGGUUGGCAUGGUGGACUGUGCAACGAUGACGUCAACGAAUGUACGUCCACUUCAAACGAGUGUCCCACCAAUUCCCAAUGUAUAAACUUAUCAGGCAGUUUUACAUGCGAAUGUGACGCUGGAUAUCUCAAGAACAGCUCUGGUCUGUGUCAAGAGUGUCCUCAAGGUCGUUUUGGCAAAGGCUGUACAAGCACCUGUUUGUGUGAUAUGGCACAUACAUCCGUGUGCAAUCCAGUGAACGGGAGCUGUACGUGUGAAGCAGGAUGGACUGUCCCCGAAUGUAAAACAGAUGUCGACGAGUGUGUGUCAGCUAAUGGCUUCAAAUGUCCUGCCAACUCGACAUGCGUCAGUGCUAUUGGUAGUUACAAGUGUGAUUGUGACCCGGGUUUCAAAACGAGCAGCAAAGGCGACAGCUGUACAGAGUGUUCAGACAACACUUACGGAAUAAAAUGUUUCAAUACGUGCGCAUGCGUUAAGGAGCACACACUUUCCCACACCCAGUCAUGUGACACUGUCAAUGGAACAUGCAAGUGCACUGGAAACUGGACGGGCAAUACUUGCCAAAUCGAUGUAGAUGAGUGCAAAGAAGAUGUGUGUAAGGAUCAAAACACCGUAUGUGUUAACACUGAUGGUUCUUUCGCUUGCUACUGCAAGAAAGGCUUUGUAAAAGACGAUGUUACCAAAACUUGUUCGAAUGUAACGACAGUUCCAGGAAAGCAAAAAGACCUGCAGAUAACACUAAAAAUUGACGUUCAGAGUAUAAAUCUUACAUCAGACAGGGAUUUUGCAGUGGUUGCCGAAAAAGUUACAUUAUCGCUACGGACCUACCUGUUGCGGUUCAUAACACAUUUCACAAUUGUAAUUAAGGAUCUACGAAAAGGAAGCUUACUUAUAAACUUUACACUUUUCUACAAUAACACUGCUGAUGCGGUUACAAAUGUUACCAAUGCACUAGACGAUCUUAGGAAAGGACCAAACAUCAUGUAUGAAGGAAAGCCUGUAGAAGCAGUCUCAGAACAACUUCGUGGCUACACGCCAUGUGGUUUGUUUGAGGAGAUAAGAGGAGGUCCGUGUGAAUUCGGGACAGCGUGUAACGUCACAAACGGUGUGGUUUCGUGCGUAGUGAACAUUGUGCCCACAGACAAUGUAAAGCUGAUCAUAGGUGUUUCUGUGGCGGGAGGUCUGAUUCUGGCUAUAGGAAUUUGUACAGCGAUAUUUAUUGUGAUCAAAAGAAAAGCGAGGAACGCCACAAAGCAUACCCUAAGGCUGGAAAACCUCAAUCGAUUUGAUGGACAAGGUGGGAAGGUAUUUUGGAGAUCACCAUUCAAAGAAGUUCGCCAUGGAAUUACAUGAACCAGAGGCCCCAAGGUAUAGAACAUGGCGAUCCAUGGCUCUGUCAUUCAGGCAGGAUGCCGUUAAGAUUCCGAGAAUAGUUCCAGACGAGAAUUCAGGUACUGCAGGAUAGUGAUAUACAGUACGAAAAAAAGCCAGGAAAAAACACUAAUAAAUAAGCUUUUAUUAGAUUUCCUGUGAAUUUCGAUUCCACCGAAUCAUAUUUAAAGUGUAUAUAUGCAAAUUUCUUUUCGUAUACCCUAUGUGGGAUCUGACAUUAUUAUUGUGUAUAAGUUUUAAUACUGAUCUAUGGUAUGUUAUCAUUUGUUUUUAAUGUCCAAUAAGGUUUUCAUAAUUGCUAUAUUUGUUGUCUAUUUUUAUGUAUUUGUUUAAUAUGUGUUUUGUAUUAUUUUAUAAUUUUAUCUAAUGAAAAAUAUGAACGUUCAAUUUAUGUUGAAAUACUUACAGAAUUUGUACAAUAUUAUAUAAAAUACUGAUCAUAUUCAGAUACAAAAAACAUAGUCCAUACGGUUCGUUUGUUUCACUGACACCACAGGUUAUUUUUUCAAUACGUGACAACGCAUUUCGAGUUUUAAACCUAUUUAUUCAUGAUCCACAAAAUAACAAGUACUUUAUAUAUCAGUAAAAGCAACCAAAAUGCCUUUUUAAGCAUAUAAACACUAAAAAUUCAAGUGACACUUUGGUAUCUUUUAAAGAGUAUAGUUGCGUUUUGUAAAUAAUUAUGUUCAUUAUGAUGAUUUGUGUAGCUUCUCAUUUGAAAGGUGGUUAUAACUUUCUUUAAUACAUAAUUAAGUUGCAUGUGUUUCAUACGUUUUGUAUAUUUUCUGUAUUUUGUCUUACUACUAAUUUUAUUUCGUGUUUAAAAAUAUGCAAGAUCUUUUCUAUUAAUUACUGUUU